GUCUAUGGCCAUGCUACCCCGAACACAUUCGAUCUCGUCUGAUCUCGGAAGCUAAGCAGGGUCGAGCCUGGUUAGUACUUGAAUGGGAGACCACCUAGGAUGACCAGGAGCUGUAGGCA
rnacentral:rRNA from 1 species